AUACGGAGGGUGCGAGCGUUACUCGGAGUCACUGGGCGUAAAGCGUCCGUAGGCGGUCGGGUAAGUCGGGUGAGAAAGCCCCGGGCUCAACCUGGGAAGUGCACCCGAUACUGCUCGACUCGAGUGCGGGAGAGGAUGGCGGAAUUCCCGGUGUAGCGGUGAAAUGCGUAGAGAUCGGGAGGAACACCAGUGGCGAAGGCGGCCAUCUGGCCCGCAACUGACGCUGAGGGACGAAAGCGUGGGGAGCAAACAGGAUUAGAAACCCUAGUAGUCC
rnacentral:rRNA from 1 species